rnacentral:rRNA from 1 species
GAUGAACGCUGGCGGCGUGCUUAACACAUGCAAGUCGAACGGUGAAGGCGGAGCUUGCUCUGCUGGAUCAGUGGCGAACGGGUGAGUAACACGUGAGCAAUCUGCCCCUGACUCUGGGAUAAGCGCUGGAAACGGCGUCUAAUACUGGAUACGAGCUGCGAAGGCAUCUUCAGCAGCUGGAAAGAAUUUCGGUCAGGGAUGAGCUCGCGGCCUAUCAGCUUGUUGGUGAGGUAAUGGCUCACCAAGGCGUCGACGGGUAGCCGGCCUGAGAGGGUGACCGGCCACAAUGGGACUAAGACACGGCCCAGACUCCUACGGGGGGCAGCAGUGGGGAAUAUUGCACAAUGGGCGAAAGCCUGAUGCAGCAACGCCGCGUGAGGGACGACGGCCUUCGGGUUGUAAACCUCUUUGAGCAGGGAAGAAGCGAAAGUGACGGUACCUGCAGAAAAAGCGCCGGCUAACUACGUG